UACGUAGGGGGCAAGCGUUGUCCGGAUUUACUGGGCGUAAAGAGCGCGUAGGCGGACGUUUAAGUGUGGCCUGAAAGCCCCCGGCUCAACCGGGGAUCCGGGUUGCAAACUGGACGUCUUGAGGGGGAUAGGGGAAGGUGGAAUUCCUGGUGUAGCGGUGAAAUGCGUAGAGAUCAGGAGGAACACCCGUGGCGAAGGCGGCCUUCUGGGUCCGCCCUGACGCUGAGGCGCGAAAGCGUGGGGAGCGAACGGGAUUAGAUACCCCGGUAGUCCACGCCGUAAACGAUGAUUACUAGGUGUGUGUGGUAUCGACCCCACACGUGCCGCAGCUAACGCAAUAAGUAAUCCGCCUGGGGAGUACGGCCGCAAGGUUGAA
rnacentral:rRNA from 1 species